ensembl:snRNA U2 U2 spliceosomal RNA
AUCGCUUCUCGGAACUUUUGGCUAAGAGCAAGUGUAGUAUCUGUUCUUAUCAGUUUAAUAUCUGAUACGUCCUUUAUCCGAGAACAAUAUAUUAAACAGAUUUUUGCAGCAGGGAGUUGGAAUAGGAGCUUGCUCCGUCCACUCCACACAUCGACCUGGUAUUGCAGUACUUCCAGAAACGGUGCACCCCAU